rnacentral:other from 1 species
AUUUACCUGGGAAGUUCGCGUUUUUAUAAUAUGCGAACCGAACAAAAAAAUAUCGGAAGUCGAGGCAUAUUGGGCGUGAAUGCUUAUCUUGAAUAAGAAUCCCGAAAAUAUGCAGAGAAGAGACAUCCACCGUGUGAAAUUCGUGGUUUCACAUAGUAAUAACGGCUUCCCGGGGAACCU